UACGGAGGGGACUAGCGUUGUUCGGAAUUACUGGGCGUAAAGCGCACGUAGGCGGAUUUGUAAGUUAGGGGUGAAAUCCCGGGGCUCAACCUCGGAACUGCCUUUGAUACUGCAAAUCUCGAGUCCGGAAGAGGUGAGUGGAAUUCCUAGUGUAGAGGUGAAAUUCGUAGAUAUUAGGAAGAACACCAGUGGCGAAGGCGGCUCACUGGUCCGGUACUGACGCUGAGGUGCGAAAGCGUGGGAGCAACAGGAUAGAA
rnacentral:rRNA from 1 species